rnacentral:rRNA from 1 species
AUGAAAGUCGUUGGCACACGUCCACAGAAGGUCCGAAAAGUUACGAUUCAAGACAGUCAAGAUGCAGUCACCUAUCAAUUUGAUGAUCCACCAUUAGUUCCCCCUACGGCUGGGUUGCAAAUUACUAUCCAUCCUGCUGCAGCCUCAUCAUCGGAGCACUCUGUAGCACAAGAAGCGGCUCACAAUACAGUUGCAGAGGAGUGUCCGGCACAGGCGGUACCGGGUCAACAAACUAAUCCUAAUAACACAUCAACAUCUCACACUUCAACGGGGAUCCCCCCGUUGGUUUCACCCAUUGUUGCUGGAGGGAACACUUCGGUCGGUUCCAAGAGGUCGGCUGCAACAACAUGCAACCGUUCCAACUCCCAUCAAUAUGAAAAUGACGAUGAUGAUUUUGACCCCCCGCCACCUAGAACUGCUCUUACCCGGAGGACCGACCCGCCAGUCAAGCGGCCAAAGGUAGCUAAAGCUAUAUCAUCCACCGCCGGUCAUAAUGGAAACCAACCAUCAAAACCGGCACCAACCAUUAGGUGCUCACCUGGAUUCGUGCUCUCUGCCAUUGAUCUAUUAACCGAAGAUCAAUAUGCAAAUGUCAAGGCUACUCCAUUUGGUGAAAUUCUGAACCUAAAAGCUGAUGCUCUUGAGUCCAGGAAUUUGCCGGUAUUCCUUAUGAACAAGACUGACAAGGACACUCUAAUAAUCAACGUCGGCACUCAAGGUGGACUGAAAAUUACCCCGCAUGCUGUGCAUUGUGUCAUGGGCACUCCACUUGGUGGUCGUGACCCAUCGGUCUGUUCUGUCACCCAAAAGAAUGAGCUGCUUAGACUCAAGAACGAGCUGAGCGUGCCAGUCGAUCAGAAUAUAACCUACAAAACUCUGUGCGACUAUAUAAAGUUGAAGAGGCCUGAUGAUUUGUCCACAAGAUGUUUCAUUCUGAUUAUAUUCAACUGGUUACUCUUUCCUUCCACAAGGACAUAUAUAUCUGGUAGGGAGGCUGCUUGGACUGCAGACAUUGCUAAUAUUGGUGCGAUCGAUUGGUCCAAAGCUGUUGUUGAUUACAUGAGGGAUAGUGUUGCAACAUGGCACUCCAAGAAGAACAACAAUGGAGUAUUGUCCAUUUCUGGUUGUGUGCUCUUUUUAAUAAUUUACUAUUUGGACAAUCUCCUGAGUGUCAAUAUGUUGGAUGCGUCUCAAACACCACGCAUAGCUUUCUACAACACUGGGAAGAUGCAAGCUAUCUUAAGUGAGGAUAAGUCGAAGAACAAGCCAGACUCGGAGUCAUAUGGCAACCUACCGCUUCGGUCCCAGGAGGGUACUUGCUGCUUGGAUGUUAAUGCCAACGCGACAUCAGCAAGCCAUGCUCAACCUCAUGCCCAUUCUGUUCUGUUCAUUAGCAUGCUGGAGCAACUCAGGGACUGCGUGGAUCAACUACCUCAAUCGAAGCAGGCUGUGGCAUUUGCUGCUAUACGGAGGUGUGAUGAUUCAGUUGCCAAACUACUUGCUGAUGUUUCUCUCGAACAACGCAAGGUUGUAUCGGAGUUACGCUGCAUAAUGCUCGAUCCUUCGACGUCUUCGCCAUCACCUCCAAUUCAGAGGGAUCCUAAGCCAAUUUCUUGUGCUGCGGCACAUUUGGAUAAUGUAGCGGAUGAGAACCCACCUGGGAGAUCUUCAGCCCAACUCGCUCGGGCAGAACGGUCGAUUCAUGACAUUCCUGCUGCUACAGACAAUAUUGAAGUUGAUGGCACCAGUAUACAAUCCGAAGCCGACCGCAGUGUUCAGCGAAACGAUGGUGUGGAUCCCAGCAAGAAUCUUCCAUCGUCAGAUGGCCCACUGCAAGGUUCUCUUACCCAACUGCUCCAGGGUAAUAUCGAAGCUUCUACGACCAAGUCCCAGCAAGAAAGCUUGCUUACCGCAUUUUAUGGACCUUAUGACAAAAGCGAAAAUGAUUGCACAAGUAACCAGCCCAAUAAACCUCAUCAAACAGUUGAGCCACACAAUACUGUUGACUCUAUGAACAACCUUCCACCACCAGACAAACAACAUGGCUCUGACAGCCACUCAAAAACCGAUUGCCCUACUCAUGCUGCUAACUGUUCUGAUGUGGAUGCGCAAGGAAUCACCGAUCCCAUUACGUUUUCUCAAAUGUGUGAAGGCAUUGAAUAUGAUGGAACUGGAUGCCCCUCAUGUGAUGCAGACGGCCAUGAGCAUGAAGAAGAAGCUGAGAUAGCUCCAACUAACACUGAUGCAGAAAACUUGGGGGUGGGUGUGUCAGACGUAUUCACGGGCCAAAAGUUUGUCAAUGAGGCACAAAUCGAUGCAGAAGCUGCUGAUCACACAGAGCAGGUCUCAAAAGAUGGUCAUUUAUCUGUGGAUGCACCAAUAAUUACUGGUCAAGUCCCAGUUAACCAUGACAAUGAUGCUGAUCGCCAAAUUACUGUCCAUGAACCAAUUAGCCACACAGAACAGUGUACCACCGCAGAGCAAUUUCAGUUGGAAGAUGCCAACACACCUGAAUCCUUAGUAUCCUUCGGUCAGCCAACACAAGAAUGGGAAGUUAGCCAACAACUUCGAGAUGCUAAUAUUCACCCAGACAGAACCCCCCAUUUGAUACUAGAGAGCCAUCCCACAAAGUGUGUAUUAGGAGUGGCAGUGAAAUCAUCAAAUUACCUCACACUGGAGCGGAGGCUCAACCUACCAACCUACAGCAGUCUGCCUCCACUGCACAACAGGCUGCCCACACUAUCCAGGUCUCUGAUGCAUCUGCUCUACAGCUGUCUCCCAGGCGCUCGGCGAGAUUUAAAAAAACAGAUGUUUCUACGGAAAAACAUACACUUGUUCGCACCGCCAAGAACAUGGAGAAGGACAAAACCAAUGUCCCAAGCUUUGUGA